CUAACCACAAGUUUGGCUUUCACACCAGCAACGAGUUUCAAACCCAAACCUUCAUUUUUUAGUUUGAAGGAAAUAACGCAAGCACUUUCGAAACGUACGUUACUUUCUAGUUCUCGCCUCACUCUCACUCUCACUCUCACUGUCUCUUUCUCUCGACGUGUCUCCUCCGCCCUCAGUACUUCCACAUAAGUAACAUCACCCAAAUCCGUCGCUUGAAUCCCGAAUCUAGUCACACCAGUCCUCAUUCCUCAGUCCUCAAUCCCUACUCGUGAAUCCAUUACCUGAAUCGUGACUUCACCCCACUGUCCAUACCACCCGAAUCCGGCUUCUGAAUCGAGCUCUCAGUCUCAGUCUGCACUCCUCCUCACUACACAAGGGGCUGUUUGGUAGUUUUCCCUCUUCUGAAGCAGGGAGUGAUAGAAUACAACAAGAUGCAGCAGCAGCAGCAGCAUAUACAAGCGACGAAGAAUACCAGAAUUAUGAGCAAAAGAGUGAUGGCAACUUCUCUGAUGAAAAUGAUUGAUAACAUCUCCAAGGUACUCAAAUUUAUAUUUUUCUGAGGCCUCGAUAAUAUUGUGUUUUAGUCGUGGCUGAGGGAGGGGCAGAAGACCAUCGAAUCUAAAGCAAGGGGAUGCUGUCAUUGCAGUGUGAUCCUAACUUGAACUUGGACUUAGGAGUUGGAGAGCUCCAAAAAUAUUAGAGAACAUAUUUCAUGAUUUGCUUUUAACAUUUGUAAAUCCUGAUUUUCUUUUACUCUGCUUUUCACUUGAUGUUUUAGUUUUGGAACUGAUAAAUCAACACAAAAAAUUUGUGGGACCGAAAAACAGCCAUUAGCCAUAACAAAGUUCUGUCGAUCAAG